rnacentral:rRNA from 1 species
CCAGCGGAAGAAAGAGAGCUUGCUCUUUCCUCGGUCAGCGGCGGACGGGUGAGUAACACGUGGGCAACCUGCCCGCAAGACCGGGAUAACUCCGGGAAACCGGAGCUAAUACCGGAUAACACCAAAGACCGCAUGGUCUUUGGUUGAAAGGCGGCUUCGGCUGUCACUUGCGGAUGGGCCCGCGGCGCAUUAGCUAGUUGGUGAGGUAACGGCUCACCAAGGCGACGAUGCGUAGCCGGCCUGAGAGGGUGACCGGCCACACUGGGACUGAGACACGGCCCAUACUCCUACGGGAGGCAGCAGUAGGGAAUCUUCCGCAAUGGACGAAAGUCUGACGGAGCGACGCCGCGUGAGCGAAGAAGGCCUUCGGGUCGUAAAGCUCUGUUGUGAGGGACGAAGGAGCGCCGUUUGAAUAAGGCGGCGCGGUGACGGUACCUCACGAGAAAGCCCCGGCUAACUACGUGCCAGCAGCCGCGGUAAUACGUAGGGGGCGAGCGUUGUCCGGAAUUAUUGGGCGUAAAGCGCGCGCAGGCGGUCCUUUAAGUCUGAUGUGAAAGCCCACGGCUCAACCGUGGAGGGUCAUAGGAAACUGGGGGACUUGAGUGCAGGAAAGGAAAACCGAAUUUAGGGCGGGAAAGCGUGGGGAGCAAACAGGAUUAGAUACCCUGUUAGUCCCCGCCGUAAACGAUGAGUGCUAAGUGUUAGAGGGGUCCCCCCCUUUAGUGCUGUAGCUAACGCGAUAAGCACUCCCCCUGGGGAGUACGGCCGCAAGGCUGAAACUCAAAGGAAUUGACGGGGGCCCGCACAAGCGGUGGAGCAUGUGGUUUAAUUCGAAGCAACGCGAAGAACCUUACCAGGUCUUGACAUCCCCUGACAACCCAAGAGAUUGGGCGUUCCCCCUUCGGGGGGACAGGGUGACAGGUGGUGCAUGGUUGUCGUCAGCUCGUGUCGUGAGAUGUUGGGUUAAGUCCCGCAACGAGCGCAACCCUUGCCUCUAGUUGCCAGCAUUCAGUUGGGCACUCUAGAGGGACUGCCGGCUAAAAGUCGGAGGAAGGUGGGGAUGACGUCAAAUCAUCAUGCCCCUUAUGACCUGGGCUACACACGUGCUACAAUGGGCGGUACAAAGGGCUGCGAACCCGCGAGGGGGAGCGAAUCCCAAAAAGCCGCUCUCAGUUCGGAUUGCAGGCUGCAACUCGCCUGCAUGAAGCCGGAAUCGCUAGUAAUCGCGGAUCAGCAUGCCGCGGUGAAUACGUUCCCGGGCCUUGUACACACCGCCCGUCACACCACGAGAGCUUGCAA